CUGUUUUGGCGCGCUCAGUCAGUCUCGGAAAGCACCUUCACAAGAGUGUUUUGUAUUUCUUAUGCAGUUUGCUUAUAAAACUUUAAAAAUUUUGCAAUUUUUGCAGUGAAAACGAAAUAAAAUAUCAACACAAACAGUCAAAACAGUGCAGAAAUGGUGUCGCAUGAAAGCCUAGUGGAGUGUUUCGAGGAGUUCGGCAUUGAACCUUCCGCGGAUGUGAUAAAAAGGUGUAUCGAAAUAUGCACCCGCAACGGAAUUGAUAAUUCCGGCGAUUUCGUGGACACAUGGAUGGCCUACAGUGUUUCUAAGCUGAGUGGAGCGGAGCCAACGUUGGACUACCUUCGUGACAUGGAGUCACACGAGUUUGCCAAUAAAGCACGAGUAAAACAGACGGCACCAGCUCCGCCGCUUUUGGUAAAAAAUGUCCACAAUGGCCCACGGGAAUCGCUGGGUAACGAUAGAGGCCAGGAUGGAUUGGUGAUUUACAAAAAUGUGGAACUGGAUUCUGCGGCAAACGAAGUGUUGGGUUCGUACGGAUGUGUGACACCUAAGCAGAAGAAAUCAGUCUCACGGCUGACCCAUUUCUCUCCGGCAAGUUACCAGCCAAUAGCGAGUAGGUCACAAAGUCAGGAGGGCCCCAAUAACUCCGGUAACGUCGUAUACACCUUCGGAAAUGGUCAGCUGUUGAAACAAGUCAGUUGGUCAUCGGUCGUCAACGACCGACGCAAACCGGUCACUAUAGAGAUUCAGCUGUCUGACAAGAAUUUAGCAGCAGGAACUUCAGGAUUGGAUAAGUAUUUGAGUGAUGAGUGCAAGUACAUGUUUGAUUCGAGCUACGAACGAGCCCUCAUCCUUGGAGAUCGAGUAUAUGAGGGUGGCAGCCAGAUUUGCCUGAGGCUAGCCGAACUUCGACGUGAAGAAAAGCAAACUCAAUCCACUCAAAAUUCCAGUGAGCAAGAGGAAUCCGAAAUCCAGAAAGAUGAUCGUGAAUCAAGCUUAAUAGAAGCAGUUACCAUUCAUCACGUGGACUAUCCCAGUACGGAUGUCGUAAGUGUGAUGGGAAGAAUUGUAAGUCUGGACCAUAGAAAGGACGUGGCAAUUGUAGAUUUCGACGAGAUGACCCUGCGGCUCACAAAUUUGGAUUUCAGCCGAAUGAAAACUUGGUCAAUGUUCCCGGGUGAAAUUGUCGUUUUGGAAGGGGUAAACCCACGAGGAAAGAUGUUUGAAGUUCAAAACAUUCACUUCGAGCGACAAUUGGAACCUCCGCGAGCACCGAUGAAGAUCAAAAGCGAACUCAACAUGGUUAUUGCGUCUGGUCCAUUUACAUAUAAAGAAGAUCUUGCGUAUGAGAAGUUAUCAGAUUUGUUAGCAUACUGCAGCAAUAAUUGCCCGGAUGUGUUGAUUUUGACCGGUCCAUUUGGAAGUAGCAGCAAUCCCUUGUUUGAAACGAUCGCCGAAACAUAUGAAAAUUAUUUUGAGAAGCUAAUGAUGAAUAUCAUGAGCUCUGUCCCGCCAAGCACACAAGUUCUGGUCGUGUCCAACCAUGACGACAUCAUGUCCAUGUUCGUGUAUCCUUCGUUCCCGUAUAAAAUCAGGAGCUAUUUCCCGAACCUACGCUUUCUACCGGACCCUUGUGUGGUGUCGAUUAACGGGCUUAAAAUCGGAAUCACGACAGCGGAUAUCAUCAAAGAUUUAUCCGAUGCCGAGCUGAGUAGGGAUCCGCGAGGCGACAAAAUCAAGCGUGCCUUUAGCUACAUGUUCCAUCAUAAGACAUUCUAUCCGCUGUGCCCGCCUCCGGAGCACGUUCCCUUGGACCUGGACCUUCUGCAGGCAUUCGGCAAACUCUCGCGGGUACCCAACAUGAUGAUCUGUCCGGGCGAUCUGAAGUGCUACAUCCGGGAUUGCCAUGGGUGCGUCUGCAUCAAUCCGGGUCGCCUGUCGGAUCAGGACAGUGGAGAGGGAACGUUUGCGCGAGUGGUGGUCCAUCCACCGGAAUCGGAAACUGCUGCGCCAUUCAACUACGUCACGUGUCAGGUAGUGAAGUCGUGAGGAAUGAGCGGUCUUUCAUAAAAGCUAAUGAAAACGAACCUUGUGAACGCAACACCAACGAACUGAAAUCCGUUUUUCUAAUGUUAAUGAGCGUAAUAAAAAUCGAAUAUCAAUAAUAUGUAAAUAUGAACAAGCAACCAGAUGAAAACCACAAUGUGAUAACGCCAAUGCACAGAGACGAGACAACAAUUAAAAAAAAAACUUUAUGAUAGUAAACUAGAAAAUGAUUUUUUCGAUCGUACUUCAACCAACAUAUCUGCCUGUGAAGCAUGGAUCCAGAUCUCACCGUAAUCUGAAAAUUAAAUUUUGUUUAAAUUUA